GACGAACGCUGGCGGCGUGCUUAACACAUGCAAGUCGUACGGUAAGGCCCUUUCGGGGGUACACGAGUGGCGAACGGGUGAGUAACACGUGAGUAACCUGCCCACAACUUUGGGAUAACGCUAGGAAACUGGUGCUAAUACUGGAUAUGUGCUCCUGCUGCAUGGUGGGGGUUGGAAAGCUCCGGCGGUUGUGGAUGGACUCGCGGCCUAUCAGCUUGUUGGUGGGGUAGUGGCCUACCAAGGCGGCGACGGGUAGCCGGCCUGAGAGGGUGACCGGCCACAUUGGGACUGAGAUACGGCCCAGACUCCUACGGGAGGCAGCAGUGGGGAAUAUUGCACAAUGGGCGCAAGCCUGAUGCAGCAACGCCGCGUGCGGGAUGACGGCCUUCGGGUUGUAAACCGCUUUCAGCAGGGACGAAGCUUUUUGUGACGGUACCUGCAGAAGAAGCACCGGCCAACUACGUG
rnacentral:rRNA from 1 species